rnacentral:rRNA from 1 species
GGGUUGUGAGGUUAAGCGACUAAGCGUACACGGUGGAUGCCCUGGCAGUCAGAGGCGAUGAAGGGCGUGCUAAUCUGCGAUAAGCGCCGGUAAGGUGAUAUGAACCGUUAUAACCGGCGAUACCCGAAUGGGGAAACCCAGUGUGAUUCGUCACACUAUCAUUAACUGAAUCCAUAGGUUAAUGAGGCGAACCGGGGGAACUGAAACAUCUAAGUACCCCGAGGAAAAGAAAUCAACCGAGAUUCCCCCAGUAGCGGCGAGCGAACGGGGAGGAGCCCAGAGCCUGAAUCAGCAUGUGUGUUAGUGGAAGCGUCUGGAAAGGCGCGCGAUACAGGGUGACAGCCCCGUACACAAAAGCGCAUGUGCUGUGAGCUCGAUGAGUAGGGCGGGACACGUGGUAUCCUGUCUGAAUAUGGGGGGACCAUCCUCCAAGGCUAAAUACUCCUGACUGACCGAUAGUGAACCAGUACCGUGAGGGAAAGGCGAAAAGAACCCCGGCGAGGGGAGUGAAAAAGAACCUGAAACCGUGUACGUACAAGCAGUGGGAGCCCCACCACUAAGCCAGUGGUGAACUCCACAUACGCAUCCUUUGCUGAGGAUACGGUUAACGGAGCGAAAGCGACGUUCAACCUCAAAAGAAGCAGAGGGGGCUUAGUGGUGGGGUGACUGCGUACCUUUUGUAUAAUGGGUCAGCGACUUAUAUUCUGUAGCAAGGUUAACCGAAUAGGGGAGCCG